ACGCCUAGCCCUGGUCCAAAAAAGAAAUGUAGAAUGAUGAAUUUGAGAUGUCAAUAGAUCAUCUUUCUAUCCAUUUUAGUUUAGUACCUUUUUGGUGGUGAUUCAAAAGCCAGUAUGUUCUGGUCUUCAUUUUGAAGAUUGUCUUCAGUUUGAGGACUAUUCUGUUGCCGUGUAAAUCAAUGUAUUAGUGUAGAAAUAUGUGCAUUUAAAUAGUUCGCCAAAAAAACUGGAGUAACAAACACAGUGUGUCUGAUUUACCUCUGGAGAAAUGGCAGUUGUUAUUAAGAAUCGAUAUAGUACUUACUUGUAUGUUUUGGCAGUUGAAAGUUCCAAUUUUUUAGAACGUGGACUAUAACUCCAAAAUCCAGAUAACUACAAUUAUAAGGUCGAAGAACAUAAUCCUUAUUAGAAUUAUGAAGGCAAAUGCAAGUAGGCUUUGGAUGGUAUAAUAUUAGAUAAACACAUACAUAAAAUCAAUACAUACGGCAAAUGAGGCAUGUAUAAAACAUAAUCCUUAUUAAAACUACUAACGCAAAUGCAAGUACAAUAUGGAUAAUAUAACAUCAGGCAAGCACACACAAAGUAGACAUAGAUCAAUAUAUAGGACGAACCAAAAAGGUAGCAGCAACAUUACCGAAGAAAGUAAUAUUUACGUAGUUAUUAUUAAGAAUCUAUAUAGUACUUACUUGUAUGUUUUGGCAGUUGAAAGUUCCAAUUCAUGCGAACGUGGACUGUAACUCCAAAUUCCAGAUAACUACAAUUGCAAGGUCGUAGCAUCAAAAUUAAAAGAUGGAGAGUAAAUAAAAUGAUAAUACAUUCACGUAAACAGAUGCAAUAGUAGAAGACCAAUAUCAAAACAGAGUUAAAACCGGGGCAAAAAAAGAGAAUACUAAUUAGAAUACAACCACAUAAGUGUAGACAGUAAUGGAGGGCUAACAUGUACGCAUCUAACAUAAUGCUUAUAGAUAAAGAAUGUAAAUGCAAAUAGCAUCUGAGUGAUAAGCAAUGCUGUCACUUAUAACAUAAUGCUUACAUAUAAUGAACGUAAUUGAAAAUAUACGCAUCUAACAUAAUGCUUAUAGAUAAAGAAUGUAAAUGCAAAUAGCAUCUGAGUGAUAAGCAAUGCUGUCACUUAUAACAUAAUGCUUACAUAUAAUGAACGUAAUUGAAAAUAGCAUUUGUGUGCUAUAAGAUUAAAUGAACAAAACACAUAUUACACAUAAAUCAAUAUAUGGGACAUACAAAAUAGGUAACAACAACGUGAAAGGAGAAAGAAAUUAAUAUUUGUAUAGGCAGUUACAACCAAGACAAUAUCUACGUAUAUGAUUUUGUUGCCAGAACUUCCAAUUUCUAUGGAUGUACACGUCAAGGCCAGAUGCGAAACAACUAUAGAAGCAAAGUUCAACCAUGAAAAUACGGCACAAUUGCAUAUAUAUAGGGAAUAAUAAACUGGUAAUAGUAAUACAAAUCACCUGAAUUGUAAGCAAUUUUGCCUUUUUACAGAUUUGUUAACGUAAGUCAGAAGCUUAGGAAGCACGUAUUAAAGGCCUAUAAAAGGUAAUUAUUCAUGUUGUCUGAAUCUAAAAGUUGAAUAAGAAAAACUCUAAGAAGAUAAUACAUCUUAUCCAAAACGAAGAUUUCACACAGAAGGGGGGGAAAAGGAAAGAUAGGUAGAAGUCUACAAUUCUUUAGAAUAUUAUUGUAUCCCUAACCAUGGCUUUUUCUUGGGAAGACCGCACGACCCAUUCCUUGAUAGGAAUACAGCACUGUAGACUCAUUUUACAGGUGGAGCAAAAGAACAUAGAAGCGUAUCAAAGGAAAGUCCACAUCAUUUUUUCGGAAUCGUUG
rnacentral:lncRNA from 1 species